UACGUAGGGUGCAGGCGUUAAUCGGAAUUACUGGGCGUAAAGCGUGCGCAGGCGGCUUUCCAAGUCAGAUGUGAAAUCCCCGGGCUCAACCUGGGAACUGCGUUUGAAACUGGAAGGCUAGAGUGCGGCAGAGGGGGGUGGAAUUCCACGUGUAGCAGUGAAAUGCGUAGAUAUGUGGAGGAACACCGAUGGCGAAGGCAGCCCCCUGGGCCAGCACUGACACUCAUGCACGAAAGCGUGGGGAGCAAACAGG
rnacentral:misc_RNA from 1 species